UAAGUACCUAGUCCUAUUCAUGACAGAUUUACUUUCAUUUCUGUGUUGACAAAUUUGAACAGUAGACCUCAAUAUGUCUGUUAAUUUUAAGCCGUUAUGUACUUUUGCAUCUGUGGUGAUUGUUGGCUAGGAGAUGUGUGCUAGGAGAAUCUCACUGAAUUUACAAAAAUGGCUAUUAACUGAAACCGACAAUCAGGACAAGUACCAUGCAUGUAACACCUGCUUCUUCUUGUUUGCAGCUUCCCCACUUCCCCCUUAACAUCAAUUCUUCAGAACAGCAAAACUGCACACAUCUGUAUUUUGAGACUGGCCUGGCUCAACUUAAGAAGACCUGUUCUGAGGAUCUGAAAAUCAAUGGAUUGAUAGAAGAAUUGAUAAAAAGAUUUAAGUAUGAAAAAUGCCUGCGCGACCUCAGUGAUGUUACGGGCCUGAAGUGUAUGAAGAAUACAACUUCAUACCAUUUCAUGGAUCAGCUGAAAAAUCUGAGCCAACAGCUGAACAACAUCGCCAAAGUCAUAGGGAGGAGGAGGAGGAGGAGGAGGAGAUCAGUCUGGAACCAAGAAGCCUACUGAUCAGUAACUCACUGUUUGAACUGACACACUGAAGCCUGCCCACGACAAAACCAACCACUUAUAAUCUUUAUUUUUAAAUACUGAUUAUAUUCAUGGAAAACCCUAUGGAUGGAAGAUUAAUAUUUAUAUUUUUUAAUACUGAUUAUAUUUAUGGAAUAGAAUACUGAUGAAAGAUUUUUUAUUUUUAUUUUUAAAUACUGAUUAUAUUUACGAAAUAGCCAACUGAUGAAAGUUUUCUAUUUCUAUUUUUAAAUACUGAAUAUAUUUAUGAAAUAGCCUACUGAUGAAAGAUUUAUAUAUUUUUAAUAAUGAUUUAUAUUUAUGGAAUAGCCUUCUAAGUUUUAGAAUAAAAUGUAUUAUUUAAUUACUUAUUGAUUAUCUGAAUGCUGAACUUGAAAUAUUGUUAUUUAUCAUAAAUUAUGUUUUAAAAGUUAAAAUAUAUUGUUAUAUAUGUAUUUAUUAAUCACUGUUGUUGAGGUUGAUUCUGCUCUGUGCAGUGUCCUGGCUGAGCAUAUUCUUUAAUAAAGACUACUGAAGACAUGAUUUAAUGGUUUUCGUGGCUGAAUGACUUC
rnacentral:lncRNA from 1 species